UUGCAAAUUACAUGACAAAUUAAAAUGCUGCAUUCACGGUGUCCCCAGUGUUAAAAGGUGUGCAAUAGAUUUGCUUAUUACCCAGCUCUAACUGCUUGAUUCCACCGGGCAUCAAGUUCGGGCUGUGACGCAGUUGAUGGAACUAAAGCGUAAUGACCAAACCAACAUUAUCGAGGACCGAACAAAACAGCGUUGUGCCUGGUGGAAUCAAGGUGUAAUGUUGAGUUUGUGCUCUGACUGUUUCCAAGAAGUGUUGAUUCAACUUCAUUUUGGAGGCGGUGCUCCCGUUGAAUUAUUGUGUGAGAUGCUUAUAAUAUGAGUGGAGAUUGGAGAUAUCUUAUUGACAAAGCAACAGAGAAGAGUAGCUGUUCACCUGUCCCACCUCAGCUCCUUUGGAGUAGACAGACUCAUGUUUUCACCUCCCGUCUCCUUAGUGUUGCUGACGUUGAGCAGCAGCUUGUUCUCUGAGCCGCAGUCUAUCUCUCCAUAUGAAGUCUCCUGGCUGUGUGUAAUGGGGGCCAUGAUGAUGUCAGUAGGAGGUAGAUCUGAUGUGGCGUCCCUGAUGUUUGUGGACUCUGACAGUGAAGUGAUGAUGAAAUGACAGCAUCCUCACAUCAAAUGGACUGAUGAAGGACAAUCAGCAGCAUCUUCUAUCUGUGUUUCCUCUACAGCUGAAGCUACAAAGUCUCUGUGACUGGAUGUGAACUCAGCAGCUGAGCCUCUCCCAGCAGGUGUGGACUCUGCUAUGGUUAUUAGAUAAGAAAGACCCAACAAAUGAUUAAUCAAUCAACUAAUAUGAGACAGCAUCUUUAAUCAGAUUACAUUACUUUACGUUACUCAUCCACUGUCUUCUUACUGAUUUUCUAUCUAAGUUUAAACUCUUUCAUUAGUCAGUUGUUUGUUUGAAUCAGGAUGCAGAGACCAGACGCUCCUGAACCCAGCUGUGUGUCGAUGAAGAGUGACCAGUCUGUGGAUCGCUUUGAUGAGUUUAAAGUCAGACAAACUGAUGGAAGGAUGCAGCAGCGGAGACCAGACGCUCCUGAACCCAGCUGUGUGUCGAUGAAGAGUGACCAGUCUGUGGAUCGCUUUGAUGAGUUUAAAGUCAGACAAACUGAUGGAAGGUACAAAUUCAAAACUGAAGCUUGUUACUAUCCGACUCUCCUGAGAAGAAGAACCACCUCUUGGACCAGAGCUUGAUAGCCUGUUGUAGGUAGUUCAAGUGUACCCAGACACUUUCCCUGAAGGGAAACAUGCAAUUAAAAAAAACUACAUUUUUAUUCUAGAUAAAACAACAUUCAAAUAAAACUAAACUAAGAAAUCCUUUUAAUCCUAAAACAUGCAAUAAAAAAACCCCACUACAAUAAACUCAGUAUGUUAAAAUAAGUGUUCUCAUUACACACAACACAGGUCUAAUAACAAAACAGCGGCAUGAAUUAUCAAAUGUUCUUCUAAAAACUGUCAAUACGAGGGAUAAAAUAAUACUUAAAAAUGUAAAAAAAAGUAAUUAGCAGAAACCCACAAAGCUAGGCUAAGCUACAAAACACCCACAUACAUUAAAUUCUGUGCAUGCAAAUCAAAGGCAUCCCAGAGUAUCAAGGCUCAGGAGACUCAGCAGAGUUUUCUCCUGCAUUGUGAUAGCAAUUUCUACUGCUAUUUAAAAUAAACCCACUAACAAAAUCUCAUUCAAUUUUCCACACUCAAUUUGGAAUUUUUUCCCAAGAUUACAAUACCACCAGAAGAGUCAUGGAGCCCCUGCAUCACUUGUUCUGGAGCCACAGACUGGAAACACUGAGUCUUUUUGUUGAGAUGCUGAAUGGUCCCCCAAUUGUCCCAGUUCAUGUGUCCCACAGCUCACCAGCACAGUCAGGAGGCAGGAGUAGAAAGAGUGCAAGUGAUUUUUACAAACAGGUACCAAGACAGGACAUUAUUUAGCUGUAGUCUUAUCAUUACCGCACUCCACUAUUGAAGUUGGCCAAAGACUGUUUACCCUUCACCCCUCUUGGAGGUGCUACAGGCCUCUCCAUUCUGGACCAGUAGGUUUGGAAACGGCUCCUUCCCCAUAGCCAUCACCUUUCAUUAUAUUCAUCUGAUGUGUUAAUUUACAUGUUAGUUUACAUUUCGGUGUGGGUUUGAGAAGCGAACACUUGUAUUUUGUAUGAAAACUUUGGCUGUAAUGUUGGCUAGCUUGCUGUGCAUGAGUAGAGCACCUGUUCAGUGGAAAUAUUGCAGGAUUAAGCAUUAUUCUUUCAGUUUGCUGUUUUAUGUCAUUUAAUUUAUUUUUGUGAAGUCAUAUGUUUAUAGAGUGCCUUAUUUAAUUUACACUUCCUGUAAUUUAGAAUUUUUUAGUUGUAGAGUAUUAUUUUGACACAAUAUAUUUGUUUUUUUGCACUAGAAUAUAGUUUUUAAGAAAAACUAUAAAAAAUAUUUUCAUUCAUUGUCCUGUAAGGGUGACGGAGCCAGCAGCCAGUGUAGAGGACCAGAGGUGAAAGCUGUCAAUGUGUGCCAAUAAAGUGUCUCCAGGUCUCUGCCACAAUCCAGAACUCCUGUCUCCAGUGCUUCUCUUCUCUCCCCACGCAAACACCCUAUCACAACCAUAACACAAUGCAGAGUCUCUAGAUGUGUAGGGAGGCUGCAGCACAUCCAGUGGGUUACAUAUGGGUCCAGCCAUGGGUAAAAAUGAACUGAAUGCAGAUGGGCAACAUGUGAGAAGAAAAAAGGUUUUGUUUUUUCUGGAGAAAUCAGAAGUGAAAAUGAGUGUGCGGGCUAUUUUUAAAUAUCUACAUCAACUAAUGUUAUCAAGCCUAAUCAGCCACCAGGAUUUUUUCAAUAACGCAAUUUCCAAGGGAGGUGGACAAGGAUGCUUACACACAUUGUUCGAAACUGUUGAUUGAUUCAGCUGAAAAGUUAAUUAUGAUCUGAAGUCAUGUUUCUACUUAUACUUCUAAUUGCACAAGUAAAAGUAUGGCUUUGUGUGUAGCAUGGGUAAUGGAUCGGGUCGUGGGUCUUAUAUCAAUGGGUCGGGUACAGAUUUGACUUGGAAGUGAUUGUGGGUAAUGGGCUGCUUCCGGUACUGAGCUGUGGGUGAGGGCGGUCGCACCUAUCAUCGUAAUCAAGGAUGACGUUGGUUGGCAUCUCAUGAUGGUCUAGGGCAGUAGUUUUAAAAGUCUUACACUGUGCCUCCCUUUGCUUAAAGACACACUUGUCAACACAAGAAUCCAGGGAUCGAAUAUCAAACCCUAUGAUUAAUAGACCACCCACUCUACCACCUGAGUGUCUUGGCCAAAGCUUGGUUUGUGCACUUCACAGGGGACUUGUGAUGGAUGUUGGCUGCUCUCAGUUCAUAGUAGAGGAGAGGGGACACUGUCUCUCAGCUGUGAAGAAAUAACUGUCAGUCAGUGUCUGAAAGGUUUUUAUGUGGUGCAACUCACCUCUUUGCUUUCCAUGUUGCUCAGCAGUAUGCACAUGAAUGCUCUGCAGCCAGCAAAGCCUCUACAUCUUACCUCUAUGGGUACACAGGAAACUCCCUCUAGCACUGCUACCAUCUCCUGAUAUUUGGACCUCUUUCUUGUGGGCCUGAUCUUCCUCUGACAGUGUUGUGAAAGUUGGGCCACGUCAACCAUCAGUGAUGUCUGUGUAAUGGUAUCAGGAAUUUAGCUGCCUGUGCAGAUCCAUAGACAGCUGUCAUUAAGUCAUUGUACUGAAUAGGUUUUUGAUAAUCUGGAUUAAGGAUGGGAAUUGAGAACCGGUUACAAAUUGAGGCAUAUAAUUUCCCAGGAACGGACUUCUUGUUGGGAGGCUAACAGUGUUAACCACUAAGCCACUGUACCAGACUGUUGUGGUGAAAAAGGCCGGAAGGCAAAGCUUUUGAUUUACCGAUUUACAAGUCGAUCCACGCUCCAACCCUCACCUAUGACUGUGAGUUUUGGGUAGUGAGUGAAAGAAUGAGAUUGCAAAUAUAAGUGGCUGAAAUGAGUUUCCCCUGAGGGGUGGCUUGGAUCAGGCUUCAACGACAUCCGCAGGGUUGAAAAGGAGGGAUUGGUUUGUCCUGCAUCAUCAUGAAAAAGCUUCUUUCAUAAGUGCGUUAGUUAUUGGAGUUUUAAAUGUCUUAAACUUGAUGUUUUCUCCACAGAGUUCAGCAGGAGAGCUCAGGGGUUCACAGUGAUCAGUCUGCCCAGCAGCAUCAAACAGACCUGAACUCCAUAUUUAUGGUGAGUACAUGUAUUAACACACCUUUUACAUCAACCACUGGUUAAACGUCAGUCUCUAUUCAGACCAGCAGGCCUUCAGACUGACAGAUUAAUCACAUGUUGUGUUCUACCAGUUUAAAUGAAAUGUUCACUUUAUCUUUCUGUUCCAGCUGCUGGAGGAGAACAUCGUCACUUUUGUGAAGAACGAGCUGAAGAGAGUCCAGAGGGUUCUGAAUACAGAUUACCCACAAUGCUUAGACAGUCAGGAUGAGGAUGAGAAAUUGUUGCAUGGUGAGGAUGAAGAGCAGAGGAGGAGCAGCAGGGAGGCAUUUCUGAAGAUCA
rnacentral:lncRNA from 15 species